GCAUCGAUGAANAACGCAGCGAAAUGCGAUAAGUAAUGUGAAUUGCAGAACUCAGUGAAUCAUCGAAUCUUUGAACGCACAUUGCGCCCCUUGGUAUUCCGGGGGGCAUGCCUCUUCCAGCGUCAUUUCACCCCUCAAGCUCUGCUUGGUUUUGGGCCGCGCCGGCAACGGCGGNCCUUNAAAAUAGUNGCGACGCCAUCGUGCUCUCANCGCAGUAAUUCUUCUCGCUGUUGGGUCCCGGUGGUCGUCCGCCAGCAACCCCCAACUUUCUUAAGUUUGACCUGGGGAUGAGGUANGGAUACCCGCUGAACUUAAGCAUAUCAAUAAGGCGGAGGA
rnacentral:rRNA from 1 species